GUGUUGUAUGAAAGGAGAGAAGGUUAGCACUCCCCUUGACAAGGAUGGAAGAGGCUCUCAGGCCUAACAACACGCAUACGGUAAAGUAAUGACUGAUCAGAAAGGCCUUACUUUGUCAUAUGUUUCC